UACGAAGGGUGCAAGCGUUACUCGGAAUUACUGGGCGUAAAGCGUGCGUAGGUGGUUCGUUAAGUCUGUCGUGAAAGCCCCGGGCUCAACCUGGGAAUGGCGAUGGAUACUGGCGGGCUAGAGUUCGGGAGAGGAGAGUGGAAUUCCCAGUGUAGAGGUGAAAUUCGUAGAUAUUGGGAAGAACACCGGUGGCGAAGGCGGCUCUCUGGACCGAUACUGACGCUGAGGCGCGAAAGCGUGGGGAGCAAACAGG
rnacentral:rRNA from 1 species